UUCGUAUUGUUGUGAAGAGUAACAACAUAAAUUUGACUCAAGACGAAGUUUUUUCAUAUUACCAAACAUUAUCUCUUGGCAUCUGUCUGUCAGAGCGACGUUCACCGAUGGGUGGUUGCUGUAGAUAGUUUCCACAGAGGUGGCAUCUUCAUUGAUUUUCACAAUCACAAAAGAAGGUUGAUCCGACUAUCCGAAAUAAACUUUCUUUCAAGUACAAAACUCAAUCGUAAAUAGCGAUUUUGAUAGCGCGUCGGAGGGAGACGAUGCAGUAAAUUUGAAUGGAUGGAAUCACUAACAGCAACCAAGGUACACACAAAAACAAACAUUGUUUCAGAGAAAGUUUUGCACUUUCCACUUGAAAAGAGCUUUGUUUUCUUGAAAAUGAAAGUGAAAUUGGUUUGAGUAAAAGUUAUUUUUUUGUUUGAAAGUAGAUUUUCUCUUGUUAUUACUGUUAAAUUAAAAGUUCUCCCAUUCAUAUGAAAAGUUGUAGAAACGUCAAAUCAAUCAAUGGUGAACCUUUGAGCAAGGCAGAGAGAAGGAAAAAAUAUGACUCACUUUAAGUUCUAGGCACUAUAGAAUAUCAGAAGGUAAAAAACCAUAAUUCAUAUUUUUAUUUCGUGUCAUCAUCAAAAUGAUUGGUUUGGAAUCCGUACGUUAGAGUUAUUAACUUAUUUUUACACGCAUGAAUAGGGUGCCUGCGCUCGAAAAUUGCUUGCAAAUGAAUAACAGUAAAUAAUAAAUCGUAUGGACGCUUCGUUUCGCAUCGCAUUUCGCGUCUACGCACCUCAAAAGGAAUAACGCGACUGUAAUUGUUACUCAUGACUUAAUUAAAAUUAAAGCACAGACAAACAGACGUCUAACUCAACACAUGUUCCAUAGUUCACCUUUUUAACGAUUGAUUUAAAUUUUUGUAGCUGGUCAAUCGGCCACCGAUGGCGCUUCCAUCGGUUUCACUUGUGUUUGACGUUUGCUCACUACCGCCAUCUGGUUGCCGCUUGGCCACACACAGUGAUUUUAGCAUUGGGCGACAAAGUUUCCGCAACAAUGAUUUUGAUUGUAUUUUGUUCCAAGUGAGACGUCUGUUUCUCUGUGAUUAAAGUAAGCCGUAACACUCUCCACUCAUGCAAAGCAAUCGAUCCUUUAUAUGGGUUUACUCUAAUAGGCUCCUUAAAUAAAAUAAGCAUAUUUCUCACAUUAUUGAUAAACUAUAUUUUGACCACUUAAUUAUUAAACAUUUCUCAUAGUGCCUCGUACUUCACAGAAGCUGUCACUCUUAUUUUUUAUCCCUCUUUCAUAACAGCAAAAACAAAUAAAAAGAAUCAGUUUUGCAACCGCGAAUAUGUUCGGUGUCGUCCGGUGGUGCGUUUAAUUUUAUUAUAAAUACGGAGCAACAGAGCUGAUGUGGAUAUGUGGAUAUGCUAUUUUGGUUUUUUGGACAGACCAUUAUAUGGCAAAGAAAAUGCCACGGUUGUGGCCCUAACAUGGAACUGAAAGAUAAUUCGCAUGUCCCGGCGGUCACAAACCAACGAAAAAACAACAGCGCAAUGCUUAAGAAACACCCGAGAUUUCCGACCGGUGGUUGGAUUAUUGGAUUAUUCCGAUGAGCAACCACAGAACAAUAUAAUAAAAUGAUUUAAAUAAAUAAAAUUGAAAAAGAAAACCUUUUUUCUCGAUUUUUUCAACUCGAAAUUAAUAUAUGAAUAAAGGGUAGGAAUGGGGUCUCAUUUUUGGAUAAAUAAAAUAAUUUCGAAAUGAAAAUAUUCUACUCUCCUUUUCGCCAUAUUUUAGGCUUUUUGGUUUGACAGUACAACAUUUUUUUUAAAUGCUCGAACUUUUAAUUUUAGAGCGGUAUGCCGCACUUUAAACCAUGGUUGUCAUAAAAGUUGGCGUACUUUUGUUUUUAAUAUACACAACUCUCUACGAAAAAGAACCAACGUAACUUUUCAUUUUUACCAAUGGUUUUUUAAUUCUAAUAAUGAUUUUUCUUUCUGUGUACCACGCCAAACCCGAUGCCACCGAAACAGUCCAUUUUCGCAAUUAACUCUUUCUUUUUAUAAAAUGUUGGUCCUGAGAAGAACCAAUUUUCUUUUCCCAAUGUUCCUUUGCAACUAACUGACACCACAAUUUGUAAUAAAUUUUCAGCAUCGGCACUGGCGGUGCGGGAUCGCCACAGUGCUAUUUUUAUGGUCAACCUUUUCUUCAUAUGAAAUUCUGGUUCGUUGAGGUUGAAUGAUCUGCAGCAACACAUCGAGCACCAACACCAAUGCGAUGGAUUUUAUUUGAAAAUGUUAUUAGCGCCUCCGUGAUGCUGUGUCCGCUCCGCUACGAUCGCUUUGAUGCGUCUGCUAUGCGUAAAAUCUUGUUCAAAUUGAUUAGAUCCAAACCCGCAAGUGAUUGAUUUUUGAUGUCUGUGCUAGUGAUGCAUGUACGUGAUUGGUUAGUUUACCUAUUUCUAAACUUUUUAUCAAUUAUCGAUAAUAAAUAGUUAAAAAUCAGUAUUUUCAAAUAAAUACAAAGAAGCGUUGACUCAUCCUUGAUCGAAUGGUCCAAAAAAAUUGAAAAUCCAUCGAGAAACGGCUUAGAUAUUGAAGCUUAAAGCAUUGACGAAUACAUAGACGGAGUGGUGGCCAUUUUUCCGGGCACCACUAUAUACCCCUGGGGAGUGACGAAUUACAAUUAUUACAAUCACUCGACCAUUGAGAAGCCCCUCAAUUCGAAUCACGUCAGUUUGACAACAGUUGUCAGUUAUGCUCAUUUGUUUAUGUUUGAUGUUUGUUUUUUUUGACGAAUUUUUCAAUCGCGUUAGAAACAUUCAGUUAUUGCGCAUAAUCCCCAAAAUUUUAUUCCCACCUUUGGGUUUCCGCGCCGAGCACUCAGCGCCAGACUCGGCGACAAGGAGAUAGUCGUCAAGUUGGUACUCCUGAUUUUUUGACAACUGAUGUCGAUUGGUUGUGUGAGUGCACCGGUGUCAAAAAAUAGAGCUUUUAGCUGAAAAUUUAAUUGUCAAAUGCACAUUUUGACACACAUUUUGACACACAUUUUGAUGUAUGAGUGAAUAAAAUGUGUAAAUGCUCUAUCGCGGCAGCAGUCGCUGAAGACAAGUGUCAAUGAUUUCAGUGACGAAACGAAAAGUUUCAAUGCAAAAAGCAAUAUUGUGUUGAACUACGAAAUUUCUCGCAAAAAAGAAGUUCGUAUAUUCCGUGGGUUUGACGGGAGUAUCGACGAUCGCGUGGGGACGAAGCUUUAUUUAGAAAUUGGUGAACAGAAGAGUGUCGAACGGGAAAAACUCCGAAGGAAGAAAACAGGCCACAAUCACUGUGGCGGUUAGAAUAAUCGAGAAGGUACCCGGUAUUGCCCGGUAUUUUCAAGAAUUGAUGGUAUUUAUUCCGUUAGAUCAGAAUCCGACCAUGGAAAUGUGAAACUCAAUAUCCUUCGUAAAGUUUCUGAAAAGUGAGUCCUGAUAGAAACGAUGGCGAGGAGUAUUCCGGUUCGGCUAUCAAUAUGGAAUUUCUGAUUGAGGCAAGAAUCCAACUAGCAAGAAUCCGACCACCGCUCAGGAAUACCACCUCUGGCAUGCAUACGCUUUGCUUCAUUCACUGUGCAAUAACAGCCGUACUCCGAAGAUCUUUGUGCAUCCUCAGUGCAAUGACUCCCUGAACCGACAUGUCAAUGACCUUCCAUCCACGAACUUAAAUAGCCGUGCGGUUCUUUGUUCGGGAAUGCAUUCAAAUUCUUGCGUGUUGCAGUGAGACGCCCCAGUUGGAGUUGUUCCGGAAUUUAGAUCCCCUAGCGGAUUCACAUCGUCAACUUCUGGCUUUCCAAGAAUGCGCUGGUUGCAAAUCGUAUUAUCAUGGUCACUAAGCAUCAACUAAUUAAGGCUAGUAAUACUGACGCAAAACGAUAAACGCCGAAGAUUGUGUUGGCCAGAUAAGGGAACCCCCUCACAAAGAAUAACAAUUAGAGUUCCCUCUCUACACCACGGCAGGCUACUGACUGAUACUUCUGCCAGCAGCUGCAGUUCUCUUUAUUCAACAAUAGCGAAGCGUCGCACACUACCUGAUAUUCCAACAGAUUGAUCGACCAAUCUGCAGCAGUCGAGGGUGAUAAAUUUCCCCAUUUAUUGUGCUAAUUCGUUGAUUUUGCUGCUGGAUUAUGCGCUGGAGAUCCACCCUUUGCCUCCUGUUGUUAAACUUCAUGUAUUGCGGUGCUGCAUAUUAUCCCACCCUUUGCUGCCAGUUCCGGUGCUACGAUUCCUGCUCGUAGCGAAGGCUAUCGCUGUUUUUCGAUCCUGCUGCUGUGACAUCCUGACCAAAUAUUUUUAUUCAACUGAACAUUAAGCAUGCUGCGGAAAACCGUUCGUUUCGCCAUAUUGAUCAGCAGCUGUAAGAUACCACGAAGGAAACCAACAAUAAUACUUGAUUUGACGGGUCUGGAGCCGAGUCUGGAGCAUCCCCAGAAGCAGGUUAGAGAAGGUUAGCAGGCCAUUGGAGGAACAAUCCACAGCGAUAAAUCGCUUGGGGAACGUGGACAUUUGCGUGAUUCGGACUAAAAAUUGAAAGCAAAGGCUGCUUUUUCCGAGGCUAUUCGUUUUCGUACCGAGGGCUGAUUUUCUUUGCUACUAUGCGAUGCCAAAGAAGCUUCCACACCGAUGAUCUUGAUUCAACGGUAAGCUAUUCAUCCGUAACAUGUUUUAGUUUUUAUUUUGAUAUACAGUCGCGAUUCGCUGGUUGGGCCACGACCUCGGCCCAACUAACGAAUUCGGUUUUUUAGUUGGGCCAACUGACAGCCAUUUGAACACGUGUAUUUCGACUUGAACAUCACAAAUGAUGUCCAGUGACACCCAAUCCCGUUUUCCGUGUUUACAUUGAAUUUUGACGUACGGUUGCUUUUUAGUUGGGCCAUGGCCCAACCAACGGAGGCCCAACUAAAAAGUGACCCAAGUAUUAAGAUCCCAACCAGCGAAUCCCGACGAAUAUAUUUUUAGAUCUUUGCACCUAUGGUCACGGAACGGGGCUUUUACAGUACUUCCAGCAUCCUUACUGCUCUCACAAGUUUCGGGAUUAUAUACCGUCAAAUCUCUACAUGGCUACUGCGGAGCAGCCUAGCAGGUGACCCGGUACCUGCUGCGGUUAACGCUUACUGACCCGAAGCUGCUCCUGAUCAUCCAGCCAGUUCCGGUUUCGUCGAUCGCGUAAUUUUAAUCUAUCGGUAAUCAGUUUCGCUAAUUGCCCAACAUCCAACAACGAAUAGGUUGAUAAAGACUGUAUAUUGUAAAUAUAUUUAUAUAGUAGAAUUAAAUUAAGAAGGCAUGCCAAAAAGCUGCCAGCUGUUGAUGAAUAUAAAAAAAAUGAUAAUAAUGUGCACUAUAGGCUUAUUUGUUUUGUUUUUUUUUGCGAAAUAUUGAUUUGUUUAUAUAUUUGCCCGGUAUGGUACAUAAUCAAAAGAGCGAGAUGCAUCACUCCAGCAUGCUGAUUGUAGAGUUCACCCAAGUUUGAAUUACUGUUUCGGAUCACUAGCAAAUUAAAACGUUUGACUCAAUGCUUAA